rnacentral:tRNA from 1 species
GGGGUUGUAGCUCAGUGGUAGAGCACUUGCCUAGCACGUGUGAGGCACUGGGUUCGAUCCUCAGCACCA